UCGAGAAUUUUUCACAAUGGGGGAAACCCUGAUGGAGCGACGCCGCGUGGAGGAUGAAGGCGUUUUCGUCGUAAACUCCUGUCAUGUGGGAACAAGAAAGUGAUAGUACCACAAGAGGAAGAGACGGCUAACUCUGUGCCAGCAGCCGCGGUAAUACAGAGGUCUCAAGCGUUGUUCGGAUUCAUUGGGCGUAAAGGGUGCGUAGGUGGCUUGGUAAGUUGAAGGUGAAAUCUCGGAGCUCAACUCCGAAACUGCCUUCAAUACUGCUGAGCUUGAGGAUUGUAGAGGAGAAUGGAAUUCACGGUGUAGCAGUGAAAUGCGUAGAUAUCGUGAGGAAGACCAGUGGCGAAGGCGAUUCUCUGGGCAAUUCCUGACACUGAGGCACGAAGGCCAGGGGAGCAAACGGG
rnacentral:rRNA from 1 species